rnacentral:tRNA from 1 species
GGGGGGGUUCCAGAGCGGUCAAAUGGGGCAGACUGUAAAUCUGUUGGCGUAGCCUUCGCAGGUUCGAAUCCUGCCCCCCCCA